rnacentral:rRNA from 1 species
UACAGGGGGUGCAAACGUUGCUCGGAAUCAUUGGGCGUAAAGCGCACGUAGGCGGUUCGUUAUGUCGGAUGUGAAAGCCCUUGGCUUAACCAAGGAAGUGCAUCCGAAACUGGCGAGCUAGAGUACGAAAAGAGGAUCGCGGAAUUCCCGGUGUAGAGGUGAAAUUCGUAGAUAUCGGGAGGAACACCGGUGGCGAAGGCGGCGAUCUGGGUCGAUACUGACGCUGAGGUGCGAAAGCGUGGGGAGCAAACAGG